rnacentral:lncRNA from 1 species
GUUGCACACACAUAGAUGCUAUGGCUGCAACUUUGAGUACGCUGUCAAAUGGGAUGUUUGAGUUUGUGAUGUUUGGGUCGAUGAUUGACUCUAGUGCCUCCUUGUUUGUGAGCAGUGGUCGGGCCCACGUGACGAGAUUUUCUUGGCCCGGUGGCUGCAAUAGAUCCACGGGCUUUCUUCCUGUUAGAAGCUCCAGAAGAACCACACCAUAGCUGUAGACAUCACUUUUCACCAGAAGAUGCCCUGUCAUGGCGUAUUCUGGUGCUAGCGUACCCGAAAGUUCCCAUAACAUGAGUUGAUAUGUGUUUAUGAUCAUCCAACGCCGUUCUAGCCAAACCAAAAUCCGAAACUUUUGGUGUAAAAUCAUUUUCAAGUAGAAUAUUGCUGGACUUGAAGUCGCGAUGAAUGACUCGUGGGUUUGAAUCUUCAUGCAAAUACGCUA